GAUGAAGAACGCAGCGAACGUGCGAAACGUAAUGUGAAUUGCAGAAUUCAGUGAAUCAUCGAAUCUUUGAACGCAUCUUGCGCUCCUUGGUAUUCCGAGGAGCAUGCCUGUUUGAGUGUCGUGAAUACUCUCAACUUCAACCCUUUUUUCGGAAAGGGAGGAAGGUUGGACUUGGGUGUUUGUUGAAGUGCGAGCUUCGACUCAUCCUAAAUGCAUUAGCGAUCUGCCUCGAUCACACACAAUGUGAUAAUUAAAACUAAAGCAUUGUUUAAUGAUCAAGUCGAGACUGCUUCUAACUGUCGCAAGAAAAUAACGUGCAUACAUUUGUGCAUGUCAUUUGACCUCAAAUCAGGUAGGACUACCCGCUGAACUUAAGCAUAUCAAUAAGCGGAGGA
rnacentral:misc_RNA from 1 species